CCUACGGGAGGCAGCAGUGAGGAAUAUUGGUCAAUGGACGAGAGUCUGAACCAGCCAAGUAGCGUGAAGGAUGACUGCCCUAUGGGUUUUAAACUUCUUUUAUAUGGGAAUAAAAUGUUCCACGUGUGGGAUUUUGUAUGUACCAUAUGAAUAAGGAUCGGCUAACUCCGUGCCAACAGCCGCGGUAAUACGGAGGAUCCGAGCGUUAUCCGGAUUUAUUGGGUUUAAGGGGAGCGUAGGUGGAUUGUUAAGUCAGUUGUGAAAGUUUGCGGCUCAACCGUAAAAUUGCAGUUGAAACUGGCAGUCUUGAGUACAGUAGAGGUGAGCGGAAUUCGUGGUGUAGCGGUGAAAUGCUUAGAUAUCACGAAGAACUCCGAUUGCGAAGGCAGCUCACUGGACUGCAACUGACACUGAGGCUCGAAAGUGUGGGUAUCAAACAGGAUUAGAUACCCGAGUAGUC
rnacentral:rRNA from 1 species